rnacentral:rRNA from 1 species
CCUACGGGAGGCAGCAGUGAGGAAUAUUGGUCAAUGGACGCAAGUCUGAACCAGCCAUGCCGCGUGCAGGAAGACGGCUCUAUGGGUUGUAAACUGCUUUUGUACGAGGGUAAACGCAGAUACGCGUAUCUGUCUGAAAGUAUCGUACGAAUAAGGAUCGGCUAACUCCGUGCCAGCAGCCGCGGUAAUACGGAGGAUUCAAGCGUUAUCCGGAUUUAUUGGGUUUAAAGGGUGCGUAGGCGGGUGGAUAAGUUAGAGGUGAAAUCCCGAGGCUCAACUUCGGAAUUGCCUCUGAUACUGGUAGGCUAGAGAGCAGUUGAGGUAGGCGGAAUGUAUGGUGUAGCGGUGAAAUGCUUAGAGAUCAUACAGAACCCCGAUUGCGAAGGCAGCUUACUAAGCUACGUCUGACGUUGAGGCACGAAAGCGUGGGGAGCAAACAGGAUUAGAUACCCUGGUAGUC